rnacentral:rRNA from 1 species
CCCUUAGAUGUCCGGGGUUGCACGCGCGCUACACUGAAGGAAUCAGCGUGCUAAAACCAUUGUCGAAAGGCAUUGGUAAACCCAUUAAAAUCCUACGUGAUUGGGAUCGGGAAUUGCAAUUAUUUCCCUUGAACGAGGAAUUCCCAGUAAGUGUGGGUCAUAAGCUCGCGUUGAUUACGUCCCUGCCCUUUGUACACACCGCCCGUCGCUGCCCGGGACUGAGCCGUUUCGAGAAAAGCGGGGACUGCUGCUGUCGGGGCUUUCGGGCCUUGGCUUCGGUGGAAACCGCUUUAAUCGCAGUGGCUUGAACCGGGCAAAANUCGUANCA